rnacentral:tRNA from 2 species
GCGGCCGUAGUCUAGCCUGGUAGGACGUGGGCCUGCCACGCCCAAGGUCCCGGGUUCAAAUCCCGGCGGCCGCA